CACCAUUUUGUCAUGAAUCCAUCUGUGUCCUUUGUUUAAUAUGCACAUAGACCAAGGUGAGAGACACAGGCUCUUUAGAGCCUCUCGUUUUGAUAAAUAAUAGUCAUAUUUCUUUCUUUUUUUUUCUUCAGUUACUGAGAGUAAACAGACUGCCAGUAAAGUUAUAAACAGUUACGGAUGAUAUCUCCUUUGAUUGAUGAUGAUGCAGUGUUACCAAGCAAAGCUUAUCACUGGAUUCAGCAGUGAAUUUCAGAUGUAGUAUUCAAUCUAAAAAUGCCCAAGUGGAUCUUCUUUAUACAAAGACCCAUUAAAAAAGUGUUACUAGACAUUGGAUAUAAAUUGUGCACAGAACAAUUAUGAAGAGUGCUGUUGUUUGUUAAUUUAUAGAACUUUUAAUGAUUAAAUAAUAUUAAUAAAUAUAUAAAAUGA
rnacentral:lncRNA from 1 species